rnacentral:piRNA from 1 species
AUACAUGUUCCACUGCUUUGCCA